rnacentral:rRNA from 1 species
AUUGAACGCUGGCGGCAGGCCUAACACAUGCAAGUCGAACGGAGUGGCGAACGGAUGAGUAAUGUAUCGGAACGUGCCCAGUAGCGGGGGAUAACUACGCGAAAGCGUAGCUAAUACCGCAUACUAUUGGAGUGGCCGAUAUCGGAUUAGCUAGAUGGUGGGGUAAGGGCUCACCAAGGCGACGGUCCGUAGCUGGUUUGAGAGGACGACCAGCCACACUGGGACGGAGACACGGUCCAGACUCCUACGGGAGGCAGCAGUGGGGAAUAUUGGACAAUGGGCGAAAGCCUGAUCCAGCCAUCCCGCGUGUGCGAUGAAGGCCUUCGGGUUGUAAAGCACUUUUGGCAGGAAAGCGGUACCUGCAGAAUAAGCACCGGCUAACUACGUGCCAGCCGCCGCGGUAAUUC